rnacentral:rRNA from 1 species
UUAAACUGAAGAGUUUGAUCAUGGCUCAGAUUGAACGCUGGCGGCAGGCUUAACACAUGCAAGUCGAGCGGUAACAGAGAUAGCUUGCUAUCUGCUGAUGAGCGGCGGACGGGUGAGUAACGCGUAGGAAACUACCCGGUAGUGGGGGACAACCAUUGGAAACGAUGGCUAAUACCGCAUACGCUCUACGGAGGAAAGGGGGCUUCGGCUCUCGCUAUCGGAUGUGCCUGCGUGAGAUUAGCUAGUUGGUGGGGUAAAGGCCUACCAAGGCGACGAUCUCUAGCUGGUCUGAGAGGAUGAUCAGCCACACUGGGACUGAGACACGGCCCAGACUCCUACGGGAGGCAGCAGUGGGGAAUAUUGGACAAUGGGCGCAAGCCUGAUCCAGCCAUGCCGCG